CGUGUGCCUUCCGAUCAGCCAGGUAUCCUAACCACUAGACCAUACCGGA
rnacentral:lncRNA from 1 species